AUUGAACGCUGGCGGCAGGCCUAACACAUGCAAGUCGAACGAGUGGCGGACGUGUUAGUAAUGUCUGUGAAACUGCCUGAUGGAUGGGGAUAAGUACUGGGAACGGUUGCUAAUUACGCAUUCCAUCGGAUAUGCCCAGAUUGGAUUAGCUAGUAGGGGGGGUAACGGCUCACCUAGGCGACGAUCCCUAGCUGGUCUGAGAGGAUGACCAGCCACACGGGAACUGAGACACGGUCCAGACUCCUACGGGAGGCAGCAGUGGGGAAUAUUGGACAAUGGGCGCAAGCCUGAUGCAGCCAUGCCGCGUGUAUGAAGAAGGCCUUCGGGUUGUAAAGUACUUUAAGCGGGGAGGCGUUACCAGCAGAAGAAGCACCGGCUAACUCCGUGCCAGCAGCCGCGGUAAUUC
rnacentral:rRNA from 1 species